UGUAGAACAGGACAACCCAGGAGG
rnacentral:piRNA from 1 species